GAUGAACGCUAGCGGGAGGCCUAACACACGCAAGCCGAGCGGUAUUGUUUCUUCGGAAAUGAGAGAGCGGCGUACGGGUGCGGAACACGUGUGCAACCUGCCUUUAUCUGGGGGAUAGCCUUUCGAAAGGAAGAUUAAUACUCCAUAAUAUAUUGAACGGCAUCGUUUAAUAUUGAAAGCUCCGGCGGAUAGAGAUGGGCACGCGCAAGAUUAGCUAGUUGGUGAGGUAACGGCUCACCAAGGCGAUGAUCUUUAGGGGGCCUGAGAGGGUGAUCCCCCACACUGGUACUGAGACACGGACCAGACUCCUACGGGAGGCAGCAGUGAGGAAUAUUGGUCAAUGGGUGCAAGCCUGAACCAGCCAUCCCGCGUGAAGGAUGACUGCCCUAUGGGUUGUAAACUUCUUUUGUAUAGGGAUAAACCUACCCUCGUGAGGGUAGCUGAAGGUACUAUACGAAUAAGCACCGGCUAACUCCGUGCCAGCAGCCGCGGUAAUACGGAGGGUGCAAGCGUUAUCCGGAUUUAUUGGGUUUAAAGGGUCCGUAGGCGGACUUAUAAGUCAGUGGUGAAAGCCUGUCGCUUAACGAUAGAACUGCCAUUGAUACUGUAAGUCUUGAGUAUAUUUGAGGUAGCUGGAAUAAGUAGUGUAGCGGUGAAAUGCAUAGAUAUUACUUAGAACACCAAUUGCGAAGGCAGGUUACCAAGAUAUAACUGACGCUGAGGGACGAAAGCGUGGGGAGCGAACAGGAUUAGAUACCCUGGUAGUCCACGCCGUAAACGAUGCUAACUCGUUUUUGGGCUUUAGGGUUCAGAGACCAAGCGAAAGUGAUAAGUUAGCCACCUGGGGAGUACGCUCGCAAGAGUGAAACUCAAAGGAAUCGACGGGGGCCCGCACAAGCGGUGGAUUAUGUGGUUUAAUUCGAUGAUACGCGAGGAACCUUACCAAGACUUAAAUGGGAAUUGACAGCUUUAGAAAUAGAGCUUUCUUCGGACAAUUUUCAAGGUGCUGCAUGGUUGUCGUCAGCUCGUGCCGUGAGGUGUUAGGUUAAGUCCUGCAACGAGCGCAACCCCUGUCACUAGUUGCCAUCAUUCAGUUGGGGACUCUAGUGAGACUGCCUACGCAAGUAGAGAGGAAGGUGGGGAUGACGUCAAAUCAUCACGGCCCUUACGUCUUGGGCCACACACGUAAUACAAUGGCCGGUACAGAGGGCAGCUACACAGCGAUGUGAUGCAAAUCUCGAAAGCCGGUCUCAGUUCGGAUUGGAGUCUGCAACUCGACUCUAUGAAGCUGGAAUCGCUAGUAAUCGCGCAUCAGCCAUGGCGCGGUGAACACGUUCCCGGGCCU
rnacentral:rRNA from 1 species